UCUUUAUAAGACCCAGGAAAAUCCCCUGAAACUAAACAAGGGACUAUAAAAGUUGCAGCACAAGGAGCAGCUAAAAAAGAUGAGAAGAAGGAAGAUUCCAAGAAAACAAAAACAUCUGCAGAAGAACAACCCAAGGGGAAAA